rfam:Clostridium butyricum E4 str. BoNT E BL5262 CLP.Contig68, whole genome shotgun sequence.
CUUAACUAUUUAUCAGAAAGUGUAAUAACUUCACUAAAACUCCGUUAUGCAUAUUAUUAUAUGUAUAAAGCACGGUAAAGUCUAUGAAAAACAGACCUGAGAAGUGGUUAGUAAAGUAAUAGGGUGGCUAAAAA